GAUGAACGCUGGCGGCGUGCCUAAUACAUGCAAGUCGAGCGAAUGGAUUAAGAGCUUGCUCUUAUGAAGUUAGCGGCGGACGGGUGAGUAACACGUGAGUAACCUGCCCAUAAGACUGGGAUAACUCCGGGAAACCGGGGCUAAUACCGGAUAACAUUUUGAACCGCAUGGUUCGAAAUUGAAAGGCGGCUUCGGCUGUCACUUAUGGAUGGACCCGCGUCGCAUUAGCUAGUUGGUGAGGUAACGGCUCACCAAGGCAAAGAUGCGUAGCCGACCUGAGAGGGUGAUCGGCCACACUGGGACUGAGACACGGCCCAGACUCCUACGGGAGGCAGCAGUAGGGAAUCUUCCGCAAUGGACGAAAGUCUGACGGAGCAACGCCGCGUGAGUGAUGAAGGCUUUCGGGUCGUAAAACUCUGUUGUUAGGGAAGAACAAGUGCUAGUUGAAUAAGUUGGCACCUUGACGGUACCUAACCAGAAAGCCACGGCUAACUACGUGCCAGCCGCCGCUGUAA
rnacentral:rRNA from 1 species